CAACUGGAGACAUGUUGUUUGAUCUCCGCUGCUCCCCUGAGAAUAGUGUUCCUUUAAAGACAAUGAUACUUAUUGAGGGAGAGAGAAAGAGAGAGAGAGAGAGAGAUUUGGUGAAGCAGCUACAAUUACACAGAACACAAUGUGUCAAGAACCGGGAGGAAAGGAUCCCCCAUCUUUGGUGCAGUGUCACUCUGGGAAAGUGACAGGGGCUAUAUGGUUUCAGGCACCAGGGAACUCAGGCUGCUCAGCUCAUAGAAAAAUCCUCUGUCACAGUGCCUUGGGGUGGUGGCGAUAGGUGUCACAUUGAAGCAAG
rnacentral:lncRNA from 1 species